GCGAAAGUAGCUCAGUCGGUAGAGCGUCAGCUUCCCAAGCUGAAUGUCGCGGGUUCGAAUCCCGUCUUUCGCU
rnacentral:tRNA from 1 species